AACCAUUGACUCCAAAGGUCGUGCAUAUGCCUGCAAAGAGUCAGGAGACUCUUUGGAGGCUAUGAGUCAGGAGAAGGAAGGCCUACAGCUCUUGCUAACUGCCAAGGAUUCCUUUUUCUGGCCCACUGUACCAGACCUGCCCAAGCAUGUUCAUUUCACUUCUGAGUGUCUGCAUUCUCAUUCUUUUUCUGUUGCAGAGACUCUCUGUUCCCAGCCCUUCUCAGAGGCACUGAAGAAUGAGGAGAUGAGUCUUUGAUUUGGAUCAAUGACUAACAAGAACCUAGUUAUAAACAGCUAAUUUCCUAAAACCCAGACAUAGUGUUCCCAGUUGAAAGAAUUAUGCCUCUACCCACCAUCCCUCUCCUCUGACCUUCAUGUUGUCUCUCUCAUAACCCUUUAUCCUUCAGGUAUGUCUUUAGAAUUGGGAAGAGCUCAGAACAUUUUAGAGCCUGAAAGGAAGGUCCAGGGUAGAAGGUUCUGGCCUCUGACCUCCUUCAUGAAUGAGGACCAAAGAAGAAUGCUCUGAACGGAAAUGUUCAUGUGACCAUUGUUCAGAAGCAGGAGUUUCUUGGCCUUGGGGUAAGCGAUUUUGCUCAGCCACAUCCAUCCUCCCAGAACAAUGGGGCCAGGUGAUUACGGACUGGAACCUUCAAUUCUUUCCAGGGGCUCAAGCAUUGCACAUUGGGAAGGAAAGCACUGUCCAGUCUGCCACUGGCGUGAGAGAGACAAACACAGCAGUUUUGUGACUGAAAAGGCAACCUGGCAGAAAUGGCAGAAAGCGGCAGAAGUCAGACUUGGAGGACUUUUCAUCAAAGCCACCAGUGAACAAGCAUUUCUCAUGAGCUCUCUCAUUCUUGUACAUCAACCAUCAGAGAGAUGAAGAAAGAAGCAGAUGCCGGUGAUAGCGGGACAAAGCAGGGCCGUCUGAUGACUCUUUUCAGUGAUGACAAUGGGGUGAAUUCUAUCAUGACUCCCUCACCUACUCCACAGUACAAGGCGGCAUGUUGAAAUCAUGAUAGAUAAUUUGAGCAAGUGUGACAAGCUGGUGCCAUGACAUCCUUGGAGCAGGAGAAACACCUUGUUGAUGACAUUUGGUUGCACUGAUCUACUACCAGGGACUUCCUUCAAUCCGGCUUUUUCCUACUCACACUCCGUUUGAC